rnacentral:rRNA from 1 species
UGUGUGAUCCUGGCUCAGAUUGAACGCUGGCGGCAUGCCUUACACAUGCAAGUCGAACGGCAGCACGGGAGCAAUCCUGGUGGCGAGUGGCGAACGGGUGAGUAAUACAUCGGAACGUGUCCUGUAGUGGGGGAUAGCCCGGCGAAAGCCGGAUUAAUACCGCAUACGCUCUACGGAGGAAAGGGGGGGAUCUUAGGACCUCUCGCUACAGGGGCGGCCGAUGGCAGAUUAGCUAGUUGGUGGGGUAAAGGCCUACCAAGGCGACGAUCUGUAGCUGGUCUGAGAGGACGACCAGCCACACUGGGACUGAGACACGGCCCAGACUCCUACGGGAGGCAGCAGUGGGGAAUUUUGGACAAUGGGCGCAAGCCUGAUCCAGCAAUGCCGCGUGUGUGAAGAAGGCCUUCGGGUUGUAAAGCACUUUUGUCCGGAAAGAAAACCUCUGGGUUAAUACCCCGGGGGGAUGACGGUACCGGAAGAAUAAGCACCGGC